CCUACGGGAGGCAGCAGUAGGGAAUUUUGCGCAAUGGGGGAAACCCUGACGCAGCAACGCCGCGUGAUCGAUGAAGUCCUUCGGGGUGUAAAGAUCUGUCAGUGGGGACGAAACUUGACGGUACCCACAGAGGAAGCACCGCCUAACUCCGUGCCAGCAGCCGCGGUAAUACGGGGGGUGCAAGCGUUUUCCGGAAUAAUUGGGCGUAAAGAGUUGGUAGGUGGCACGUUAAGCCUGGUGUUAAGGGCGGAAGCUCAACGUCCGUAGGGCAUUGGAUACUGGAGGGCUUGAAUGCGGUAGAGGUAAAGGGAAUUCCUAGUGUAGCGGUGAAAUGCGUAGAUAUCAGGAGGAACAUCAGUGGCGUAAGCGCUUUACUGGGCCGUAAUUGACACUGAGGAACGAAAGCCGGGGUAGCAAAUAGGAUUAGAUACCCUAGUAGUC
rnacentral:rRNA from 1 species